UUACUGCCCAUCUCUGCUGAGGAGUUGGCAACACUGCCUCGGGGCCCUCCAGACACAGAGACUGCAGGUGCUGCAGACACAAUUGAAAGGUACAAAUGUGUUGUGCAUGAAACGAAUUCAAACGUGCUGCAGAUGUGUGUCACAAGUUGAUCUGGCUGUAGGCUGUGGCACUUGGCCAGAGGUGGCGCUGGUUGACUCGACUCCAUGUUAGUGCACAAAGUAAACUGCUCGCUUUAGUUGUGAAGCAAAAACGCUGAAUUCGGAGAAAUAAACCGUGCGAGGGGAACGAUAACGACGACAAGAGUCUCCCGAUCGUUUACUCUUGGUGUCCUGUGAACAACAUCGGCGUGGUGUUAAUUGUUUGCUGUUUUCGCGAUCGCGUCGCGCGUGAGGAUAUCACCAGGAAGAGAAAAGAAUGAGAGCUAACUUCACUCAGAGAUAUAGAAAGAAAGAGAAAGAAACCAGGCUGUAUUUAAAGACGUCUUGAAAACAAGUUUUAACAAAGUCCUGGAGAAGUGCCCAAUGCUGGAGGACCUCCUGCUUUACCCCUGGCUCAGAUAAACUCCUCUCUGACACAAACACACACGCAUACUGAAUUCACAUCUUGCCAUACAAAUGUGAUACAGUAACCAACUUUCUUUCUUUCAGAAAAAAAGAAAAUUGGGAGAUUCAAAAUUUUCCUCACAGUAAUGUUUGCAUCAGUCUAUCAGAUGAAUCCCCUCCAAGUCCAAUAUUUACAUCAGUUACAGUGAUAAUGCUUGGUGUCUACUUUCAGCCACCGCAGUAGAAUGCCAGGAAUGAAUCUCAUUGAAAUUGUAGUUGCAUUUGCUAUUUAAUUUAAUUGUCAUGGAUGAUACACAGACAACCCAA